AAGGCCCUAAAGCUUGAUUGAAACAAAUAAGUUAAAAGAAACAGAAUGAAAGCAAACGAAACAGAGAAGAGCAGGGGAGAAAGAAAGGAAAGAAGAAAGAAAAGGGGAAAUAAGGUUUAUGAAGCUUGGAGUUAAUUGCCAACAAAGAACCUGAAGCAUCAGCAUCGAAAGGAAAGGAGAAAGUCAUCGAGGACUAAAACGGGAGAAUUACGGCUAGGUACGAAAGUAUAAGGACUCAGCAUACAAGCCGAUCCCCAAACUCAAAUUGGUGAAGUUUCUAUCUUUUUAGAAAAUGGCAUUGUACCUAGGAUGUCUUUUGGUUAUUUUAAAAGUAUCUAAGUUGUUAAGUGAUAUUUUGGUAUGUUUUGUAAAUGUUACCAAAACCUUAAGUAUGGUAUGUUUUGAUAUGUUAGUGAAGAGUAAUAAGAGGAAUUGUUGGUAAAUGUUGUAGAGAGAAGAAA